ACACACACACUCACACUCUCGCUCCUCCACUACCUCCUAGCAGGCUGUUUGCCGAGCACUUAACUGCUGGCUGGCGAGGCCAAAUGGACCGGACGAAAUCUCAGAUGAGCCUUCUUGGGCAAGGCUAGCAUUAGCAUGCUAAGCAGUGACCCAUGAGAGCCCCCUUGGUGUGGUGAGUCAGGUUGUCAAGGAUCCAUGUGGAUGAGCUGCAUUAUGAAUAAGGUGGAGAUAAAUAGACGUCAAUGCUGUCUGUGUUGUGUUGAUGGAAGCUUACUGGUGAGGGACUACUAAGAACCCUAGGCUGGAAGACUCGAAGGCUAGACUGGUGUCCUAGCAUUCGAAUAUGGAACCGCCAACAGAAAUAUUUUCUUGUCCAUCUCUAUGCACCGCCUGUGUUGCAACCCGAAUGUUCCAGUAACCCCACACCCACAAAUGACAGAACGAAAGACAGGAGGGAAAGAAAAAAAAAACAGAAAUGGGUUCUACAUCCACCUCCUCAUCUAGCUGCCAUUUGGUCUCAGUGUGGUGGCUGUGAAACCGUAAGGGGUUGGACGUGGACUGAUGAAAUUCACACAUACAGGCCUAAGAAAAAACUACCGUGGCACGUUAUGGUAAGGGUGGGCGACAUGGCGAAAAAGGAACAUCUCAAGGCUUGAAGGUAGUUUCACAACACACAAUAUUAAAUGGGACACAACCUUGUAUCUCCAAAAUAGAAACUU